rnacentral:rRNA from 1 species
UACGUAGGUGGCAAGCGUUGUCCGGAUUUACUGGGCGUAAAGAGCGCGCAGGCGGUCGUUCAAGUCGCGUGUGAAAGCCCCCGGCUCAACUGGGGAGGGUCACGCGAUACUGUUCGACUCGAAGGCAGGAGAGGGAAGUGGAAUUCCCGGUGUAGUGGUGAAAUGCGUAGAUAUCGGGAGGAACACCAGUGGCGAAGGCGACUUCCUGGCCUGUUCUUGGCGCUGAGGCGCGAAAGCUAGGGUAGCAAACGGG